GAGUUUUGAUCAUGGCUCAGGAUGAACGCUGGCGGCGUGCCUAAUACAUGCAAGUCGAACGCAAAACCUUCGGGUUUUGAGUGGCGGACGGGUGAGUAACACGUGGGUAACCUGCCCAUCAGCCUGGGAUAACCACCGGAAACGGUGGCUAAUACCGGAUAUGUCUUUGGAUGAAAGUCGGAUUUAUCUGACACUGAUGGAUGGACCUGCGGCGCAUUAGCUAGUUGGUGAGAUAGUGGCUCACCAAGGCGACGAUGCGUAGCCGACCUGAGAGGGUGAUCGGCCACACUGGGACUGAGACACGGCCCAGACUCCUACGGGGGGCAGCAGA
rnacentral:rRNA from 1 species